ensembl:lncRNA
UCAGGACCUAAUCUUGAACAGCAAACCGGACUCACCAUCCCUGACACCAUGUGCCAUUACAGCAACCACUACGGAGGCCUGGGCUACGGCUACGGAGGCUUUGGUGGCCUGGGCUUUGGCCGUGGCUGUGGAUGCGGCAGCUUCCGCAGGCUGGGCUAUGGCUCUGGCUUCGGAGGCUACGGAUGUGGCUCUGGUUUCGGGAGCUUUGGCUCUGGCUGCUGUCACCGUCCACUGUUCCUUAGAAGAUGUGGUUUCUCCAGCUUCUACUAAACUCUGGCUCUAGUAACCCAACAUCUGCUACCAAGAAUGGAUUUGAAACAACGUUAUUCAGUUGAAGAAUUGAAAUUUCCCUAGGCCUAUAUAUACCCAAACCUUAAGAAUUUCAGAGAAUUUAUUAUUUAUUAAUUAGUUAUAAGCAUCUCUGUCUCAUGUUUCCUGGAAUUUGUUACCUUGGGCACUAAUGGAUGGCUGAUGUUGACAACCAAUAAAUUAAUUAAUUGGAAAUGCAAAAUAUAGAUCUUUGGGGUUCAUUUAACUCAGUAUGUAUACAUACCUGUAUGUAGUUUUUCCAUUUGUCAAUUAUAAAUACAAGAAUUUUCUCCUUUAAUAUUUCUAUAAAAACAGGUCAUGUUAGAGAUACUUGUUGGUAAUGUUCCAUUUUAUUAAAACUGUGGUCAGAGCACACUUGCAUUUCACAAAUUUGCAUUUCACAAAUCUUAAAAUCCAUAUUUCUAAAUUUUUAAGAAAAAUAAGCUCUGUUUUUCUGUGAAUCAUGCAUUGGAGAAGGAAAUGGCAACCCACUCCAGCGUUCUUGCCUGGAGAGUCCCAGGGAUGGCAGAGCCUUGUGGGCUGCUGUCUAUGGGGUUGCACAGAGUCGGACAUGACUGAAGUGACUUAGCAGAUUAAAUAUAAUAGGUGUUAUAAUGUUGUCCUGUAUUCAUCAUCAUCCUCAGCUUUCAUGUAGUUUGUUAAGCAUGUUACAUAAGAGUGAGUAAAAUGAUUUAAAAGCUAUUAAGUAAUUGGAGAGGAAAAAUAUGAACUUUGUUCAGUCAUCUCAUCAUUUCACCCUCUUAAGUCACCUGCAUCAUCAUUACUACACCAAAGUAUUUGUAAUUCAGUAAGAACUCAUUGGAAAAAACACUGAUGCUAGGAAAGAUGAGGGCAGGAGGAAAAGGCGGCAGCAGAGAAUAAGGUGAUUGG